AAGCAAAGCCAAGGGCAGCCAUACUGGGGGAAAGCCAUCAUUCCUUAGGGGGAUGGCCUGGGUUGGCGGGAGGGGAAAACCAAGGAGCAAGCCCCCAUACCUACAACACCUACAACGAAGAUCCCAUAUUCAUCAUACAGCCAGGUAACCAGCACCCUUCUCUGUUCAAGCUGCUAGGAAGCCUAGCCUCAGAAUAUCCCAAAUGCAGCCUCCGCCUACUCUCUCCUGGCUCAUUGAGAUCAGAAGGAUGAAUUGGCUUGCCAUCCAGCUAUGUCAAGCUACAUGAAGGACCCACCCACCUGGCAGGCCUGGAGACCCUGACAGCUUUCUUUCUUCACCUGCGCCUGGCAGCAGUGACACAGGUAGCUUGAGAUGGAAUUGGUCCACAGCCACCCACUAGAUUUCUGGGAAGAGGAAGAGAUGGCAACAUGGGCGAUCCCAGAAGAGUCUGGACGUGUCCUGGAGUCCUGGUUCAAAGUUCCGGCACCUUCCCAGCCAGUCCUCUCUCUCAUCUGGCUCGCUGGGGAAAACUUGAUUAUGCCCGCCGCCCUGACGACAGAGUACACAGAUAAAAGAUAAUUGCUUGGCUUGACUCCUCCAUUGAUAUGAAAAUAAGAUUUAAAUUAUUCACUCCAGUUUAAAGGUUAGUUGAAGGUUAUUACAGGGGAUGAAGGGGGGGAAAUCACUCUUCGUGCGUUGGGGGCUGAGGUAAGACAGGUUUGAAAGGGCCUAAUGCACUUCGUGGGCAGAAGCGCCGGCUUGCGAAUACACCCGGAGCCCCGCUAGAGAUUUCAAUCUAGGAGAAGUCAAUUAUUUAUAAGCAAAUUAUGGCUGGCUUCUCGUAUACAUAAAACACUCUGCGUCAUAAAUAAGGACAGGGUGGUGUCUGCUCCCUUUCCAGCACCCAGUUUUUCUUGAUCUCAAAACCUGGGCGGAGUUACAAUGGAAAUUUAAUGAGGUGCUUCCAUUAGGAAGGUUGGGUAGCUGCUUGGUGGGUGCUCCUUUUAGUCAAUGACAAUUCUGUUAAAAAAAUAAAAACGAUAAUUUGGCUUUAGACAGGUCUCUAGCUAGGGAUCUAACUCUUGCGAGGGGCACGGGAAGUAGACCCUUGCGGGCACUGCCGAGCUUGCCUCCUGCUCUGGUCCAUCCCACAGAGUAGUCAGUGUUUCUGGAGGGUUUGGGAGCUGCGCAUAGAAUAUGAUCCCGGGGCUGCUCCUUCCCAUGGAGCAACGUCUCAGGCCUGAGGAUCAAUAAUUGAUAGCCUUUCGUGUUUCUGGAAGUUGGGCGCUGUUUCAGACUGUAUCCAGUGCCUUUCACACCAUGCAUUAGUCAUGGACAGCCAUUUUAAUCAGAAUAAAGACCCUUGGAGCUAGUGUGCCGAGCUCCCAGCCGCCAGCCUGAAAGCAGCUCGGGGAUGUGCUGGGACCCCCUCCCCCAGGAAAGCACUUCUAGGUUUCAAUACGCCUAGACCCUCCUCUUGGUCCCUGUUCACAGAUUUGUGUCCCCCUCGUAUCUGCAAACAGGGCAUCUUCUAUCCCCACAGGAGGCACUGAAGAUACACAGCAGAACUAGUAGGGGCAGGAGCAGGGACAAGAAGGGCCUUGGUAUGGAAGUCUGGAGGCUGCUUAAUAGUGAUGGAGCUGGGGCCAGGAAGCUGUCUUUUGGGGAGGGAUGUGCCCAGGUAUGCUGCCCUCUGUGGCUUCCCCAUCAUCUUGAGGUCUUCCAGAAGGUUGUAGUCCCUACUGGAUCUCAACCCUGGGCUCUCUAUGGAUAUCCUGUUGGAAGGGACCCCAGCCUCAACCAGCUUGUGGAGGAAGAGGCCAAACAGCCUGAGUUUUCCCUAACUAAACUGUAAACUGUAAACAGGCAGGAUCUGAGCUGGCUGGCCAAGGGCAACAGAGGAGGGGAGGGCAAUAGGGGGAGGAGGUCCGUGAGAAGUGAAAGUGAACCCCCAAAAUGAUAAUGCUGGUGACAGUGUCCUACACAGGACUCUGACCAGGUAAACACAAUUGCUAUUGGGUAAUGGAGCCCAAAGUCAACAUUCAUUGGGCAUCUCUUAAGGUGGACUUCUGUUUACCAAGAAAAGCAUUACUUCCCUUAUAUGCCCCAAUGGUCAAUUGCAUCCUGCCAGGGUAUCUAGUUCCCGGUUAAUGUAAACAAUCUGCAUCAGCCAAGAUCCCUCACCUUGCUACCAUGGAAAAUCUCCUUGCCUUUGCUCCAAGCGUCUGUUCUCUAUUCUCAAGGCAGGCUAGGUAAUUUGUUCCUCCACUGAACUGCUUUUUCUAUCCAAAGAAUGGUUCAGUUCAAUGGUCUCACUGUGCCCUCUCUUAAAAGUGGGCAUUGCUGGGGAGCAUAGAUUUGUUGGGCUCUGGGGUCAGGUGUAAGCUACUAUUCGUUUGCCCUUCUUGUCUAAGCCUGGAGCCACUGGAGCCACUGAAGCUCUGCAGACAAAACUAAACCAGAGACAGACAGGAGCAAGAGCAAGACAUUACAUGAACACCCAAAUGUAGGUUAAACGCCGUGUCCAAAGGCCAAUGGCAAAUGAUCCAAGUCCAGCUGUGCUUAUGCCUGCAGCUAACGACGUUUUAGGAUGAGUUUUGUUUGGACUGUUUGUGCUCCAGAAAGCAGCAGGUGUUGCUUGCCGCCUCUGGUCAGGCCUUGUGAAUAUGUUGGGAGGACACAGCCUGGCUCUUCAUCUGGAGAAUCUAGACAGGGAC